UACGGAGGGUGCAAGCGUUAUCCGGAUUUACUGGGUUUAAAGGGCGCGUAGGUGGGUCUGUAAGUCAGUGGUGAAAUCUUCGAGCUUAACUCGGAAACUGCCAUUGAUACUAUAGAUCUUGAAUUAUCUGGAGGUAAGCGGAAUAUGUCAUGUAGCGGUGAAAUGCUUAGAUAUGACAUAGAACACCAAUUGCGAAGGCAGCUUACUACGGAUAUAUUGACACUGAGGCUCGAAAGCGUGGGGAUCAAACAGG
rnacentral:rRNA from 1 species